rnacentral:rRNA from 1 species
GAUGAACGCUGGCGGCGUGCCUAAUACAUGCAAGUCGAGCGAAAGGACGAUUAGCUUGCUUCUCUGAUGUUAGCGGCGGACGGGGGAGUAACACGUGUAUAACCUACCUAUAAUACUGGUAUAACUUCGGGAAACCGGAUCUAAUACCGUAUAAGAUUUUGAACCGUAUGGUUCAAAAGUGAAAUACGGUCUUGCUGGCACUUCUAGAUGGAUCCGCGCUGCAUUAGAUAGUUGGUAAGGUAACGGCUUACCAAGGCAACGAUGCAUAGCCGACGUGAGAGGGUGAUAGGCGACACUGGAAGGGAGCCACGGUCCAGACUCCUACGGGAGGCACCAGAAGGGAAUCGUACGCAGUGGGGGAAAGCAUGACGGAGCAAGGGCGCGUGAGUGAUAACGGUCUUCGGAUCGUAAAACUCUGUUAUGAGGGGAGAACAUAUGUGUAAGUAAAUGUGGACAUAGUGACGGUAACGAAUAAGAAAGCAACGGCUAACUACGUG